UACAUGGGGUGCAAACGUUGCUCGGAAUUAUUGGACGUAAAGCGCGCGUAGGCGGUUACUUAAGUCGGAUGUGAAAGCCCUCGGCUUAACUGAGGAAGUGCAUCCGAAACUGAGUAGCUAGAGUACGAAAGAGGGUCGCGGAAUUCCCGGUGUAGAGGUGAAAUUCGUAGAUAUCGGGAGGAACACCGGUGGCGAAGGCGGCGACCUGGGUCGAGACUGACGCUGAUGCGCGAAAGCGUGGGGAGCAAACAGG
rnacentral:rRNA from 1 species